AAAAAAAAAAAAUCAUGGGCAAAUGUCCUUAUCUCCAAAAUGUGCUCCUUCCAUGUCAUGUUACUGUUACAUAAUUGAAAACAGGUCCUGUUCAGAUAUCAGUUACCAAUCAUUUUUGUUAUUAGAAGUGUUAGCAUUAUUUAGAACUUUUUCCUCAUGGCAAUAUCAAGAUGUGAACAGAGAAUAAGAUGUCUGUUAAGAAUUAUUACCAUCUUUUCAUUCAUUUCAGAAUGCCCCAUUCAUCAAGGUCUAAGCGUUUUCCCCUACAAAAGGAUUCUGAGUCAAAGACUCAGAGAGGGUUGUGUCGAGGUGUUGGUGGAGUGGCAACCUUGCUCUGGAUGUGGAGCAAAGUGGAAAAACUCCUGGGAGCCCAAAGACAACGUUCUUCCUUAAAAAAAAUUGUUAAAAUUGUGUUUGUUGUGUUAUGUGACACAAAUUUGUUUUGGUAAGUUGUUUGUUUUCUGUUGUUGGGAAGGUAAUAAACAUAUUGUUUUACUUUCAAACACUUUGUCAUUGUGUUAUAUUAUUGUUGGAUGCAUUUCAUGUAAUUCUGGGAAGC